ACAGAAGGGAGCUUGCUCCCGGAUGUUAGCGGCGCACUUGUGAGUAACACGUGGGUAACCUGCCUGUAAGACUGGGAUAAGAGCUAAUACCGGAUAGUUCCUUGAACCGCAUGGUUCAAGGAUGAAAGACGGUUUCGGCUGUCACUUACAGAUGGACCCGCGGCGCAUUAGCUAGUUGGUGAGGUAACGGCUCACCAAGGCGACGAUGCGUAGCCGACCUGAGAGGGUGAUCGGCCACACUGGGACUGAGACACGGCCCAGACUCCUACGGGAGGCAGCAGUAGGGAAUCUUCCGCAAUGGACGAAAGUCUGACGGAGCAACGCCGCGUGAGUGAUGAAGGUUUUCGGAUCGUAAAGCUCUGUUGUUAGGGAAGAACAAGUGCAAGAGUAACUGCUUGCACCUUGACGGUACCUAACCAGAAAGCCACGGCUAACUACGUGCCAGCAGCCGCGGUAAUACGUAGGUGGCAAGCGUUGUCCGGAAUUAUUGGGCGUAAAGGGCUCGCAGGCGGUUUCUUAAGUCUGAUGUGAAAGCCCCCGGCUCAACCGGGGAGGGUCAUUGGAAACUGGGAAACUUGAGUGCAGAAGAGGAGAGUGGAAUUCCACGUGUAGCGCUGAAAUGCGUAGAGAUGUGGAGGAACACCAGUGGCGAAGGCGACUCUCUGGUCUGUAACUGACGCUGAGGAGCGAAAGCGUGGGGAGCGAACAGGAUUAGAUACCCUGGUAGUCCACGCCGUAAACGAUGA
rnacentral:rRNA from 3 species